GACGAACGCUGGCGGCGUGCCUAAUACAUGCAAGUCGAGCGAAUCUUCGGGAGCUUGCUCCCAAAGAUUAGCGGCGGACGGGUGAGUAACACGUGGGCAACCUGCCUAUAAGACUGGGAUAACUUCGGGAAACCGGAGCUAAUACCGGAUAAUUCCUUUCCUCUCAUGAGGGAAGGCUGAAAGACGGCUUACGCUGUCACUUAUAGAUGGGCCCGCGGCGCAUUAGCUAGUUGGUGAGGUAACGGCUCACCAAGGCGACGAUGCGUAGCCGACCUGAGAGGGUGAUCGGCCACACUGGGACUGGGACACGGCCCAGAGUCCUACGGGAGGCAGCAGCAGGGAAUCUUCCGCAAUGGACGAAAGUCUGACGAAGCAACGCCGCGUGAGUGAUGAAGGUUUUCGGAUCGUAAAACUCUGUUGUUAGGGAAGAACAAGUACGAGAGUAACUGCUCGUACCUUGACGGUACCUAACCAGAAAGCCACGGCUAACUACGUGCCAGCAGCCGCAGUAAAAC
rnacentral:rRNA from 1 species